rnacentral:misc_RNA from 1 species
AUCAAUUCCAAAUAUUAUAACUUCUAACUUCAUCAUCAAUGGCCUGGUGGUUUAUCGCUACCAUGGCCAUCUUCUAAUGGCCCCACUACAACAGGUUCUAAACAAAAGAAUAGGAAACAGUGUCAUGGAAGCAAACCAAAUCGAACGCUACUAUCAUGAAUUGUUUUACAAAGAAAAAUUACUCAAAUAAACAUUUAAUGAAUAAUUUAACUAAAUAUCAUAAUAAAUUGUAUGUUUCAGUGUAAUAAAAAGAUGUAUAAAAAGCCAAAGAAAUGGUUCAUUAAAAAAGGUUAAUUUAUUACAAAAUUAAAAUCUAUAUGAAUGGAUAUGUUUCAGUAUAAUAAAAAGAUGCAUAAAAAGCCAAAGAAUGGUUCAUUAAAAAAGUUUAAUUCAUUACAAAAUUAAAACCUAAUUCAUUAAAAAAGGUUAAUUCAUUACAAAAUUAAAAUCUAUAUGAAUGGAUAUGUUUCAGUAUAAUAAAAAGAUGCAUAAAAAGCCAAAGAAUGGUUCAUUAAAAAAGUUUAAUUCAUUACAAAAUUAAAACCUAAUUCAUUAAAAAAGGUUAAUUC